rnacentral:rRNA from 1 species
GACGAAGGGGGCUAGCGUUGUUCGGAAUAACUGGGCGUAAAGCGCACGUAGGCGGAUUUGUAAGUCAGGGGUGAAAUCCCGGGGCUCAACCUCGGAACUGCCUUUGAUACUGCAAGUCUAGAGUCCGGAAGAGGUGAGUGGAAUUCCUAGUGUAGAGGUGAAAUUCGUAGAUAUUAGGAAGAACACCAGUGGCGAAGGCGGCUCACUGGUCCGGAACUGACGCUGAGGUGCGAAAGCGUGGGGAGCAAACAGG